rnacentral:rRNA from 1 species
AUUGAACGCUGGCGGCAGGCCUAACACAUGCAAGUCGAACGAGCGGCGGACGGGUGAGUAAUGUCUGGGAAACUGCCUGACGGAGGGGGAUAACUACUGGAAAAGGUAGCUAAUACCGCUUACCAUCAUUUGUGCCCAGAUGGGAUUAGCGUGUUGGUGGGGUAACGGCUCACCAAGGCGACGAUCCAUAGCUGGUCUGAGAGGAUGACCAGCCACACGGGAACGGAGACACGGUCCAGACUCCUACGGGAGGCAGCAGUGGGGAAUAUUGCACAAUGGGCGCAAGCCUGAUGCAGCCAGGCCGCGUGUGUGAAGAAGGCCUUCGGGUUGUAAAGUACUUUCAGCGGGGAGGCGUUACCCGCAGAAGAAGCACCGGCUAACUCCGUGCCAGCAGCCGCGGUAAUUC